AUUGUCAACCUAAAUCAAAUUUGCUGUCCGUGGUGCUGUUUCCUAUUCUGUGUUGUCCCAACCUACUGAAGAGGAAGGUGGAAAAGCUCUCUUGGUACUACUGCAAAGCACUCACUGUUGAGCUUGAAGCUACAGCUUGGGGAUUUCAAACUGACAGAGAAAUGCUCCAAACUACCAGUCUGCUUUUGAUUUGCCAAAAAGUCUUCUGAGCUAGCAACAGCAGUAUGCUUCUGGUGUGUAAUGAAGAUUAAUCAAGGCUGAUCUGCGGUCAUGACUUCUCUUCAUCCUUCCAUCCAUCCUGAUUUUGUGCUUUAUCCAUAAACUUGGGCUUCCAUAUUAGAUGAAAGAAAAAUCCACAGAUCUCAAUUUACCACGACAAUACAUUCGUAAACUCUGUAGAUGAUUUUUCAAACUGUAGCAAAUCAGUUAACACCCUGAAUUCUGAAGCCCUGUACAAUCUGCAUAAAGCAAUAUAUAACCAGUUAUUAUACUUUCAAAGCUACAGUAGGAGUGUAGUGCUUUAGGUAAAACAGCUGUCGACCAACAAAAAAAUGUAACAAUUCAUUGCACUGUUUGAUCCAAAGCACUGUGUUCUGAUACUCUGAACGUAAGGGCAGGUGAGGAAGGCCUUACAGUGUCUGUGCCAGGCAGCAGUUCACUACUUGUGCCUUGCAGACACAGAGAUCAGAGAUUAGAAUUGCUCAGGAUUCAACCAGAGAGCACCCAAAAUGAAAGCAAAUUUUCUGAGAAAACCAAAUGGAUUUUGCUGACUAUCCUGGACAUACAGGGGGUGCUCUAUUAAUCAAGUCACAAGAAAAUAGUUUAGAACUCAGCAUACUACAUAGACUACAUAAACACCACUACAUUAUAUGCUACUACAUUAACAUUCCUGAGCAUACUGUAUACAUUAACCAUGCAGCAGGCACUUCUGAUGCACGUCUGACAUUCAGAAAUAUAUUCUCAAUAUAUUCAGAAAAAUAUUCCACUCUGAGUUGACAAGGUAUUACUAACCUAAGAAUUAUGAUAGAAAACAAGGGGAGUAUUCAUGUUGCCUACUUCAACAGCCUACAAAACCAGACUAGGCUUCCUGCACUGUAAAUAUAAAGGGAUAAGUAAAUAUCUCAGAGAUUAUUUCAGAGGAUUCAAGCUAAGCAGCAGUGGAAGUCCUCUGGAGGGCAACCAGAGCACUACCUUCCUGCUUACCUUAGCUGCUCUAAAUUGUUCCCUGGAGGUGUCAACUCUACUCUGCUGAUUACAAACAGUGCCCAGACUCCCUAUUUAGAAACCUAAUUUGCUACCUAAAAUCAAAUGUGGUGAAUAAUUCCCGAAGACCUCAAAUUUUCAAAUUGGCCAAGUGAUGGGUUUAAAUUAAAUAUUAACAAGUUUAAAGCUCAAUUUUUGUAACUUCUCCAAAAAAAGGUGCAUCUGAAGCAGUCAACAAUGAAGUUAAUGCCCUGCAGACUGCAGAUCUUCAUGCUGUAUUUAAGCAAAUACAUGCUAACAAUCUGUUACACCCCGCCUAAUGGAUUUUACAUCCCAUACCACCAGUAUAAAUACAAAGCAAUUUCAAUACAAAGAAAUUUCAAUAAUGGAAACUGAUGCAGAAUAAAUAUCAUGCUCAUCGUUUCAUAGACCUGUGUAAAGUAAAUAACACAUAUCCCUUUCCAGUGGGAUUUUUAAGGUAAAAAGUACCUUCUUUUCCUCACCUUGACAUUAAUUUAACAAGAAAUAAAGUCAACAUACUUAUAAAAGAUACAGGAGGACAGCAGUGCAGGUCCAUCUCUUUUUCAGCAUAUACUGUAUGAUCAGUGGUCAUACAGACUUUUUCAUAAUGACUGCAUACUUGAGCCUCUUUUCAUUAAAAGAAAAAGACAUCGGUACUGAGCUUUCUCUUGUAUUAACUACCAGUUCAAAAUUUAGCUAUCUAGGGUAGGUUAGUCAUCUAGGUCUCCCUCUGUCGUCAGUAGAGUGGCAGGUACUUCCAGAAGAUGAGUCAUCUCAUCUAUUUUAGACACAUCUUAGAACUGUAUGAAUCACUCUGAAAAUCCUUCUCCCCACAGUUACAGAGGAAGCCUAGACAACUAUCUUAGCCAGGACACUUAACUUUUUGCCAGCUAAGGCAGGUGCCUGGUACUUGGUGUUCUUGCAGAAAGGAUGUAAGUUUAAAAAGUGUUUCUUUGAAUGUAGACAUGUGUCAACUGAUGGCAAUAUAGAAUCAUGUUCAUGCUGAGCUACGAGACCAUAACAGCAUUAAAUCAGUAUUAGCCUGCCUUGUUACUGACCUUGAGGUGAAAAAUUCCCUAUCCCUCUGCCAACUUUUUGUGCUAACUAAUUCACAGUUGAACACAUUGAUAAGGCAGGUGCAGCUGGGCAAAUAGCCUAGCAAGCAUCGAACCUAUAAAUUAGUGACUGGGCAGUAAAUUUUUUCUAGCCAGUUCAGGUAGUCUUUAAUCCCCAUUGGUUAAUAUCACUUAAUGGUUUUAUAUCAUCCUGAUUUAAAUUUAUACAAGAGUGCUUUCAUACAAAUUCCAUUCAAAAUAUGCAGUUAGAUUCAGAAAAGAAUGAAGUAUUAUGACACUGCUAUAUAUAUAUAUAUAUAUUUUCUUUUUUUUGCCCCACACUUCAAAAUGGGCUAGAGAGGGAAAAGGAAAUCUGCUAAUUAAAUUUUGAAGAGGUCAAAAUAGUGUAACACACACCAAGCUCUAAUUCAAAGACCAUAGGAAGCAGAGCAAUUCGGAUUUGUCAUCCUUUGACACAGACUGUAACAAUGUAGUCAGAAUUUUAAGAGAAACACGCAUCUUUUUCAUUCUUUCUCUCCCUCUAGGGUCACUGCACUGUGAUCUAUUUUUACACGGGAAAUAAAAGGAGUUUCCAUUGUUAAAACAAGUUGGAUGCUCCCAUAUCUCAUAUUCGAUCAGAGAGCAUUUCAGAAAGGCUAGCGUCCUCCUUUCAAUCAGCUUUGAAGCAUUUCUACUGGUUAUAGACAGCGUUCAUCCACAAGAUUAUAAUCAUAAAAACUUCUAUUUUUUAAAAAGUGGGUAAAAAAUGUGACUUCCAAUGACUUACAAAAAAAUGGUAUUGAAAUUAUUUCUUUAAAAAUGCAAAAGCUAGAAAAGACAUAAAAGCAGCAGAAAGAUAAUAGACCUAACCACAUAUCCUCAAAAUUUUAGGGAUACUGAUGUUCAGAUGUUAACUACUUUUUCUUCAAAAUUCCUCUGCAGAAACAGCUCACCAAAUAUGAUGAAUCUAGUGCUAUCUCAUGUUCUUGAAUUUUCCAUCAACUUGAAAUACCAAUUCUGCAUUGCCAGUUUUUUCACUAAGCCCACUGUACAACAAAGGAAAUUUGGAGGAGGAGGGAAGGCAGGAGAGAGAAAGAUGAAAAAAAUGGAGGAAAGGAAAGGGCAGGGAUGGCAGUUGCCUUGUAUUUGACAAUGUCUUCCUGAUUACAGCAGGAGACAACUUUGCAAACCAAACACAAAGUAUAGUUACAAGAACACAGAUCACAUUUCAACCUUGACAUCCUAAGAAGGAACACAAGCUCCACCACCAAUACUGAAUCCCAUGCACCGUCAAGGCUCACGGUUGUGCUACCUUAGGUCCACGCUGCAAACCUCCUUUCUAAAUACUGGUCAGAGUUCAGCCCCGCUGUAUGAAACAUCCAAUAGUUGUAGAAGACCACAAUUCCUGGGAGUCUCCUCUCCUUCCUGUAACACUAGAAACUAUCUGAUAUUCAAAACCAGGGGGUUUUUUGGCCUUACCUCAGCACUCUGUUCACAAAGCCUGUUCCAGUUCUCUGGACAAAUGCGACACUCAAAACUAAGCUUUUAGUUUUGGAUUGAAAAUUUGCCCUUGAAAAAAUAGCAUCCAUUGUCCUGAACAUACAUGCCAAGUAAGUUUUAUUAGAUGUGCAAACAUUUGGGUGAAGAAAUAAAUCUCCUCUGCAUAGCCCAAUAAAACCCUGAAUAUAACUUCAGUGUGUGAAUGCCCUUAGCAGAUCUGUUUCAUAUUGUGUUAAUUCAUACCCAACUGAAGGUGGCUACUGAAUGUAACAAUAUGCACGAUGAUUUAUUUCAAAAUUCCCUUAAUAACACUUUGAGACUGUAUUAUGAAAAAAUAUUAAAAUAAGGACUUAACACACAACAUUAGAGGCUGUUCAUAAGUGCAUGAAGUAGCGAAAAAGGAGAAUUAGUGGUUCAUAAAAUAAUUUAUUUGCAGUUUACAACUCCACCUAAAUCUAGCCCCUUUAAUACAAGGUACCAUGUUUGUAUUUGUCUCAUUUCUUAACAUGUAUUUCAGUGCUGAAAACAGUAAAAUGGUACCAACAUUUUGAACACUACUCUCUUGAUCUUUUCUUGAACAUAGUACAUUAAGUUCUCAUUUUAAACCAGUCCUAAUUACAUU